rnacentral:rRNA from 1 species
UACAUGCAGUCGACGAACUCUGGUAUUGAUUGGUGCUUGCAUCAUGAUUUACAUUUGAGUGAGUGGCGAACUGGUGAGUAACACGUGGGAAACCUGCCCAGAAGCGGGGGAUAACACCUGGAAACAGAUGCUAAUACCGCAUAACAACUUGGACCGCAGGGUCCGAGUUUGAAAGAUGGCUUCGGCUAUCACUUUUGGAUGGUCCCGCGGCGUAUUAGCUAGAUGGUGGGGUAACGGCUCACCAUGGCAAUGAUACGUAGCCGACCUGAGAGGGUAAUCGGCCACAUUGGGACUGAGACACGGCCCAAACUCCUACGGGAGGCAGCAGUAGGGAAUCUUCCACAAUGGACGAAAGUCUGAUGGAGCAACGCCGCGUGAGUGAAGAAGGGUUUCGGCUCGUAAAACUCUGUUGUUAAAGAAGAACAUAUCUAAGAGUAACUGUUCAGGUAUUGACGGUAUUUAACCAGAAAGCCACGGCUAACUACGUGCCAGCAGCCGCGGUAAUACGUAGGUGGCAAGCGUUGUCCGGAUUUAUUGGGCGUAAAGCGAGCGCAGGCGGUUUUUUAAGUCUGAUGUGAAAGCCUUCGGCUCAACCGAAGAAGUGCAUCGGAAACUGGGAAACUUGAGUGCAGAAGAGGACAGUGGAACUCCAUGUGUAGCGGUGAAAUGCGUAGAUAUAUGGAAGAACACCAGUGGCGAAGGCGGCUGUCUGGUCUGUAACUGACGCUGAGGCUCGAAAGUAUGGGUAGCAAACAGGAUUAGAUACCCUGGUAGUCCAUACCGUAAACGAUGAAUGCUAAGUGUUGGAGGGUUUCCGCCCUUCAGUGCUGCAGCUAACGCAUUAAGCAUUCCGCCUGGGGAGUACGGCCGCAAGGCUGAAACUCAAAGGAAUUGACGGGGGCCCGCACAAGCGGUGGAGCAUGUGGUUUAAUUCGAAGCUACGCGAAGAACCUUACCAGGUCUUGACAUACUAUGCAAAUCUAAGAGAUUAGACGUUCCCUUCGGGGACAUGGAUACAGGUGGUGCAUGGUUGUCGUCAGCUCGUGUCGUGAGAUGUUGGGUUAAGUCCCGCAACGAGCGCAACCCUUAUUAUCAGUUGCCAGCAUUAAGUUGGGCACUCUGGUGAGACUGCCGGUGACAAACCGGAGGAAGGUGGGGAUGACGUCAAAUCAUCAUGCCCCUUAUGACCUGGGCUACACACGUGCUACAAUGGAUGGUACAACGAGUUGCGAACUCGCGAGAGUAAGCUAAUCUCUUAAAGCCAUUCUCAGUUCGGAUUGUAGGCUGCAACUCGCCUACAUGAAGUCGGAAUCGCUAGUAAUCGCGGAUCAGCAUGCCGCGGUGAAUACGUUCCCGGGCCUUGUACACACCGCCCGUCACACCAUGAGAGUUUGUAACACCCAAAGUCGGUGGGGUAACCUUUAG